GUGGUCACUUUGGCAGCACAAAUACUAAAUUUGGAAUGUACAGAGAAGAUUAGCAUGGCCCCUGUGCAAGGAUGACACACAAAUUUCUGAAGCAUUCCAUAUUUUU
ensembl:snRNA U6 U6 spliceosomal RNA